CUACGGGGCGCAGCAGUGGGGAAUCUUAGACAAUGGGGGAAACCCUGAUCUAGCCAUGCCGCGUGAGCGACGACGGCCCUAGGGUUGUAAAGCUCUUUCAGCAGGGAAGAUAAUGACGGUACCUGCGGAAGAAGUCCCGGCUAACUCCGUGCCAGCAGCCGCGGGAAUACGGAGGGGACUAGCGUUGUUCGGAAUUACUGGGCGUAAAGCGCGCGGAGGCGGAUUGUUAAGUCGGGGGUGAAAUCCCGGGGCUCAACCCCGGAACUGCCCUCGAUACUGGCAGUCUUGAGUUCGAGAGAGGUGAGUGGAAUUCCGAGUGUAGAGGUGAAAUUCGUAGAUAUUCGGAGGAACACCAGUGGCGAAGGCGGCUCACUGGCUCGAUACUGACGCUGAGGUGCGAAAGCGUGGGGAGCAAACAGGAUUAGAUACCCUAGUAGUC
rnacentral:rRNA from 1 species